UAGAGGGUGAGAAUCCCGUAUGUGACUGGUGACCAACCCCAUGUGAAACUCCUUCGACGAGUCGAGUUGUUUGGGAAUGCAGCUCAAAAUGGGUGGUAAAUUUCAUCUAAAGCUAAAUACCGGCCAGAGACCGAUAGCGCACAAGUAGAGUGAUCGAAAGAUGAAAAGCACUUUGGAAAGAGAGUCAAAAAGUAYGUGAAAUUGUUGAAAGAGAAGCGCUUGCAGCCAGACCUGUCCGCCGGCGAUCAACCCCCGUUCUUCGGGGGUGCACUCGUCGGCGACCAGGCCAGCAUCGGUUCGGGCGGUCGGAUAAAGGCCCUGGGAAUGUAGCUCCUCUUGGGGAGUCUUAUAGCCCUCGGUGCAAUGCGGCCAGCUGGGACCGAGGACCGCGCUUCGGCUAGGAUGCUGGCGUAAUGGUUGUAAGCGACCCGUCUUGAAACACGGACCAAGGAGUCUAACAUCUAUGCAAGUGUUUGGGUGUCAAGCCCAUACGCGUAAUGAAAGUGAACGGAGGUGAGAACCCUUAAGGGCGCAUCAUCGACCGAUCCAGAUGUCUUCGGAUGGAUUUGAGUACGAGCAUAGCUGUUGGGACCCGAAAGAUGGUGAACUAUGCCUGAAUAGGGUGAAGCCAGAGGAAACUCUGGUGGAGGCUCGCAGCGGU
rnacentral:rRNA from 1 species